rnacentral:rRNA from 1 species
AACGAACGCUGGCGGCAGGCCUAACACAUGCAAGUCGAACGGGAUCUUCGGAUCUAGUGGCGGACGGGUGAGUAACGCGUGGGAACGUACCCUUUGGUUCGGAAUAGCCCUGGGAAACUGGGAGUAAUACCGGAUGUGGUCGAGAGACGAAAGAUUUAUCGCCAAAGGAUCGGCCCGCGUUGGAUUAGGUAGUUGGUGGGGUAAUGGCCUACCAAGCCGACGAUCCAUAGCUGGUUUGAGAGGAUGAUCAGCCACACUGGGACUGAGACACGGCCCAGACUCCUACGGGAGGCAGCAGUGGGGAAUCUUAGACAAUGGGGGAAAUCCUGAUCUAGCCAUGCCGCGUGAGCGAUGAAGGCCUUAGGGUUGUAAAGCUCUUUCGUGGGGGAAGAUAAUGACUGUACCCCAAGAAGAAGCCCCGGCUAACUCCGUGCCAGCCGCCGCCGUAAUAC